AUUGAACGCUGGCGGCAUGCCUUACACAUGCAAGUCGAACGGUAACAGGUUAAGCUGACGAGUGGCGAACGGGUGAGUAAUACAUCGGAACGUGCCCAGACGUGGGGGAUAGCUCGGCGAAAGCCGGAUUAAUACCGCAUGUGAUCUGAGGAUGAAAGCGGGGGACCGUAAGGCCUCGCGCGUUUGGAGCGGCCGAUGGCAGAUUAGGUAGUUGGUGGGGUAAAGGCUUACCAAGCCUACGAUCUGUAGCUGGUCUGAGAGGACGACCAGCCACACUGGGACUGGGACACGGCCCAGACUCCUACGGGAGGCAGCAGUGGGGAAUUUUGGACAAUGGGCGAAAGCCUGAUCCAGCAAUGCCGCGUGCAGGAUGAAGGCCUUCGGGUUGUAAACUGCUUUUGUACGGAACGAAAAGGCGCCUACUAAUACUGGGUGUUGAUGACGGUACCGUAAGAAUAAGCACCGGCUAACUACGUGCCAGCCGCCGCUGUAACAC
rnacentral:rRNA from 1 species